rnacentral:tRNA from 1 species
GGAAGAUUCACCUAAAUGGUAUGGUAGCAGUUUGCUAAACUGUGGUCGUUAGACAUAUGGGUUCAAGUCCCAUAUCUUCCGCCA